rnacentral:rRNA from 1 species
GNAGGUGGCAAGCGUNGUCCGGAUUUACUGGGUGUAAAGGGCGUGUAGCCGGGUCGGCAAGUCAGAUGUGAAAUCCACGGGCUUAACUCGUGAACUGCAUNUGGAACUGCUGAGCUAGAGUGUCGGAGAGGCAAGUGGAAUUCCUAGUGUAGCGGUGAAAUGCGUAGAUAUUAGGAGGAACACCAGUGGCGAAGGCGGCUUGCUGGACGAUGACUGACGUUGAGGCUCGAAAGCGUGGGGAGCAAACAGGAUUAGAUACCCUGGUAGUCCACGCCGUAAACGAUGACUGCUAGGUGUCGGGUAGCAAAGCUAUUCGGUGCCGCAGCUAACGCAAUAAGCAGUCCACCUGGGGAGUACGUUCGCAAGAAUGAAACUCAAA